rnacentral:rRNA from 1 species
UUGUCUACUAAUUAUAGACCAGCAUGAAAGGCAAAAUGAGGGCCUAACUGUCUCUUAUAAUAAAUCAAUGAAACUGAUCUCCUAGUAAAAAAGCUAGAAUUAUAACAUAAGACCAGAAGACCCUGUGAAGCUUAAACUAAACUAUUAAAACAAAUAAUAACUACUUUAGGUUGGGGCGACCUUGGAAAAAAAAAGAACUUCCAAACAUUAUGAUCUCUACCUCAUAUAAACCUAGGCCCACAAGCCAAACAACGACCCAGCAUAGCUGAAAACUGAACCAAGUUACUCCAGGGAUAACAGCGCAAUCUUCUUCAAGAGCCCAUAUCAAAAAGCAAGGUUUACGACCUCGAUGUUGGAUCAGGACAUCCUAAUGGUGCAGCCGCUAUUAAGGGUUCGUUUGUUCAACGAUU